rnacentral:rRNA from 1 species
ACAAGUACCGUGAGGGAAAGUUGAAAAGUACUUUGAAAAGAGAGUGCAAGAGAACGUGAAACCGGUGUAAUGGAAGCAUAUGGAGCUGACGUAUCUGGUACGUAUUCAGUUGUUGGCCGUUGCGUUCGCUGGGUGUGGUAUUCCGCAAGGUUGCCCGCUCGGUUCUUCGUUGCGGUUGACGAUGCAUUUGCGUGCGGAGUGCGCCGAGUCGCGUGCUGGCGUCUAUCGAAAUCGUUCGAGAGGACAUGGCUUCGGUCGUGAAACCUUGUGCGGUGGAGGUUGGUUGCUGGUGCGCGGUUUUUGUGGAGACACUGGUCCUUCGCGUGUCUGUAUGUCGGUUGUGCUCGUGAGUGGCGAACGCAUGCGUGCGUCGCUCAUGGGUGUUGUCGAUGUGCGGGCGUGCACUGUGUUCUUCUCGGUGUAUAGUCGGUGACCCAUUUGACCCGUCUUGAAACACGGACCAAGGAGUUUAUGGUAUACGCGAGUCAUUGGGUUUGUUGAAACCAAAAGGCGUAAUGAAAGUGAGACCAUACCGGUUUUAAUGUGAACGAGCGGUGUUUCGACGCCGCUCGUGCAACAUUGCCCCGUUUCGAGGACUUGUCCUGUUGCGGAGGUUGAGCGUAUGCUGUGAGACCCGAAAGAUGGUGAACUAUGCCUGUACAGGAUGAAGCCAGAGGAAACUCUGGUGGAAGUCCGAAGCGGUUCUGACGUGCAAAUCGAUCGUCUGAUAUUGGUAUAGGGGCGCAAGACUAAUCGAACCAUCUAGUAGCUGGUUCCUUCCGA